rnacentral:rRNA from 1 species
AUACGGAGGAUCCGAGCGUUAUCCGGAUUUAUUGGGUUUAAAGGGUGCGCAGGCGGCCAUUUAAGUCAGCGGUUAAAUCGUGGGGCUCCACCCCAUUCUGCCGUUGAUACUGGGUGGCUUGAUUGCGGUCGAGGUUGGCGGAAUUCGUUGUGUAGGGGGGAAAUGCAUAGAUAUGACGAAGAACACCGAUUGCGUAGGCAGCUGACCAGACCGCAAAUGACGCUCAUGCACGAAAGUGCGGGGAUCGAACAGGAUUAGAUACCCUGGUAGUCCGCACAGUAAACGAUGAAUACUUGUUUUCGGCGAUAUAAUGUCGGAGGCAAAGCGAAAGCGAUAAGUAUUCCACCUGGGGAGUACGCCGGCAACGGUGAAACUCAAAUGAAUUGGCGGGG